CGCGCGAGAAGAGCCGAGGAAGACAGGCCCGAGGCGCGGUUGCACACCGGCAGGUCCAGCACCUCCAUGCCUCGAGGCAUGGCGCGGCCAGGGAGCGGCAGGAGGACACCUAGCGUGGGACGGCUACACCUGUCUGGGCGCAGGCCCGCCGCCCUUGCACUCUCCACCCAAGUGCCCAACGCUGCGGUACGGCCCGCUUUGGCUCGGGGUGUCUGCCGGAGAAGCGCCUUACAGAGGGACCCGGGCGGUGGGCCCUGCGGCAAAGUGGCCCACGCACCCUCCACACCGCUCCCGGGCGGCCGCACCUGGCACUCCCGGCCCUCUGGGGUUCCUGCCUUUUUCGGGGGGGUGGUGGUGAGACCGGGUCUCACUCUGUCGCCUGACCUGCGAUCACUGCUGACUGCAGUCUUGAACUCCUGGACCCAAGCGAUUCUCCUGCCUCCGCCUCCCAAAGUGCUAGGAUUACAGGUGUAAGCCGC
rnacentral:lncRNA from 1 species